AGAGCAAAGGGUGAAAGCCUUGGCACCAGGAGCCGAAGAAGGACGUGGAAAGCUGCGAAAAGCUACGUGGAGGCGCAAACAGCCAUAGAAGCGUAGAUAUCCGAAUGGGGAAACCCGUCUAGGAAAAGCCUAGACACUAAUAACUGAAUAAAUAGGUUAUUAGGGGGAAACGUUGCGAACUGAAACAUCUAAGUAGCAACAGGAGGAGAAAGAAAAUUCGAUUACCUAAGUAGUGGCGAGCGAAAUGGUAAAAGGCCAAACCUAAACUUAUAGUUUAGGGGUUGAGGACUGCAUAAGCUAUUGCUAAGAGAUAGAGGAAUUGUUUUGGGAAAGCAAGCCAAAGAUGGUGAAAGCCCAGUACUCGAAAUUUCGAAGCAGGUGGCAGUAUCCAGAGUACCACGGGACACGAGAAACCCUGUGGGAAGCCGGGGGGACCACCCCCCAAGCCUAAAUACUCCCUGGUGACCGAUAGUGAAGUAGUACUGUGAAGGAAAGGUGAAAAGAACCCCGGGAGGGGAGUGAAAGAGAACCUGAAACCCUUUGUUUACAAACAUCGGAAGUAAAAACGACCGAGUACUUUUUGUAGAACGGUCCGGCGAGUUACUUUUGCUAGCAAGGUUAAGUAGUCAGAAGCUACGAAGCCGAAGGGAAACCGAGUCUUAAUAGGGCGAAAAGAAAGUUAGCAGGAGUAGACCCGAAACCGGGUGACCUAUCCAUGUCCAGGUUGAAGUUACCGUAAAAGGUAAUGGAGGACCGAACCCACAUAUGUUUAAAAAUAUGGGGAUGAGGUGUGGAUAGCGGAGAAAUUCCAAUCGAACCCGGAGAUAGCUGGUUCUCCUCGAAAUAGCUUUAGGGCUAGCCUUGAGAUGGAGUCUAGUGGAGGUAAAGCACUGAACUGGCGAUGGGCCCAACAAGGUUACUGACCCAAAUCAAACUAAGAAUGCCACAAAGAUACCCUCAGGAGUCAGACUAUGUGAGAUAAGUUUCAUAGUCAAAAGGGAAAGAGCCCAGACCAACAGCUAAGGCCCCAAAGUGUGUGUUAAGUGGAAAAGGAUGUGAGAUUUCGAAGACAACUAGGAUGUUGGCUUAGAAGCAGCCACUCAUUUAAAGAGUGCGUAACAGCUCACUAGUCGAGAGAACUUGCGCCGAAAAUGUUCGGGGCUAAAACACACCGCCGAAGCUAUGGAAUUAUGCGUAAGCAUGAUUGGUAGAGGAGCAAGCUGCAAGGAUGAAGCGCGAUUGAAAGAGAGCGUGGACGAAGCAGAAGAGAGAAUGCCGGAAUGAGUAGCGAGAUAAAUGUGAGAAACAUUUAGGCCGGAUGUCUAAGGAUUCCUGGGUAAAGCUUAUCUUCCCAGGGUAAGUCGGGACCUAAGGUGAGGGCGAAAGCCGUAAUCGAUGGACAACAGGUAGAGAUUCCUGUACUACGUAUAUUCAGAACUGUGGGGACACAGGAGGAUAGGAAAACCCAGGAAAGGAAAUACUGGGUCAAGCACAAAGAUAAGGACGGUAGGCAAAUCCGCCGUUUGAUGUUGAAGUGUGAUGAGGAGCGAAGAAAAGUAGCGAAGUUUCUAAAUCCACACUGUCAAGAAAAUCCGCUAUAGCGAUAUACGUACCCGUACCGUAAACCGACACAGGUAGACGAGGAGAAAAUCCACAGGCCGACGGGAGAAGCGUUGUUAAGGAACUCGGCAAAAUGACCCCGUAACUUCGGGAGAAGGGGAUCCAACGCAAGUUGGACACAGAGAAGAGGCCCAAGCGACUGUUUACCAAAAACACAGGUAUCUGCAAAACCGCAAGGUGAAGUAUAGGUGCUGACGCCUGCCCGGUGCUGGAAGGUUAAAAGGAGUGGUUAGGAGCAAUCCGAAGCUAUGAAUUGAAGCCCCAGUAAACGGCGGCCGUAACUAUAACGGUCCUAAGGUAGCGAAAUUCCUUGUCAGGUAAGUUCUGACCCGCACGAAAGGCGUAACGAUUUGGGCACUGUCUCAACAACGCACCCGGUGAAAUUGAAAAGCCAGUGAAGAUACUGGCACCCCGCGACAGGACGGAAAGACCCCAUGGAGCUUUACUGCAGCCUAAUAUUGGGAUUUGGUAUUACAUGUACAGGAUAGGAGGGAGACUUUGAAGUAUGCACGCCAGUGUAUAUGGAGUCGACGUUGGGAUACCUCCCUUGUAAUACUGGAUUUCUAACCUACAGCCAUAAUCUGGUUGGGGGACAUUGUUAGGCGGGCAGUUUGACUGGGGCGGUCGCCUCCGAAAGAGUAACGGAGGCGCUCAAAGGUAACCUCAGAAUGAUUGGAAACCAUUCGAAGAGUGUAAAGGCAGAAGGUUGCUUAACUGCGAGUGCGACGGUACGAGCAGAUACGAAAGUAGGACUUAGUGAUCCGGUGGUAAUAAGUGGGAAUGCCAUCGCUCAACGGAUAAAAGCUACCCUGGGAUAACAGGCUUAUCUCCCCCAAGAGUUCACAUCGACGGGGAGGUUUGGCACCUCGAUGUCGGCUCAUCGCAUCCUGGGGCUGUAGAAGGUCCCAAGGGUUGGGCUGUUCGCCCAUUAAAGCGGUACGCGAGCUGGGUUCAGAACGUCGUGAGACAGUUCGGUCCCUAUCCGUCGUGGGCGUAGGAAAUUUGAGAGGAGCUGUCCUUAGUACGAGAGGACCGGGAUGGACGAACCGCUGGUGUAUCUGUUGGAGACCAACUCCACGGCAGAGUAGCCAAGUUUGGAACGGAUAAACGCUGAAGGCAUCUAAGCGUGAAGCCGACCUCAAGAUAAGAUAUCCCACUGCCUAGUGCAGGUAAGACCCCUUGA
rnacentral:rRNA from 1 species